AGGACGAACGCUGGCGGCGUGCUUAACACAUGCAAGUCGAGCGGAAAGGCCUUUCGGGGUACUCGAGCGGCGAACGGGUGAGUAACACGUGAGUAACCUGCCCCUUACUUUGGGAUAACCCUCGGAAACGGGGGCUAAUACCGGAUAUGACCUGUGACGGCAUCGUUGUGGGUGGAAAGUUUUUCGGUGGGGGAUGGGCUCGCGGCCUAUCAGCUUGUUGGUGGGGUAAUGGCCUACCAAGGCGACGACGGGUAGCC
rnacentral:rRNA from 1 species